rnacentral:rRNA from 1 species
GACGUAGGGCGCGAGCGUUGUCCGGAUUAUUGGGCGUAAAGAGCUCGUAGGCGGCUUGUCGCGUCGUCCGUGAAACCUGCAGCUUAACUGUGGGCGUGCGGUCGAUACGGGCAUCACUGGAGUUCGGCAGGGGAGACUGGAAUUCCUGGUGUAGCGGUGAAAUGCGCAGAUAUCAGGAGGAACACCGGUGGCGAAGGCGGGUCUCUGGGCCGAUACUGACGCUGAGGAGCGAAAGCGUGGGGAGCAAACAGG